GGUUGAUCCUGCCGGACCCCACUGCUAUCGGGAUAGGACUAAGACAUGCUAGUCGGGUGCCUCAGCCAAAACGAGGCACGGCAUACAGCUCAGUAACACGUGGCUAACCUGCCCUUGGGACGAGAAUACCCCCGGGAAACUGGGGCUAAUUCUCGAUCGGCGAAGAACUCUGGAAUGAGUCUUCAUCUAAAAGAGCUUACGUUAUGCUCGUAGGUUUCGCCUAAGGAUGGGGCCGCGACCGAUCAGGUUGUUGGUGAGGUAAUGGCUCACCAAGCCUUUUACCGGUGCGGGC
rnacentral:rRNA from 1 species